GACGAACGCUGGCGGCGUGCCUAAUACAUGCAAGUCGAGCGAACAGAGAAGGAGCUUGCUCCUUCGACGUUAGCGGCGGACGGGUGAGUAACACGUGGGCAACCUACCUUAUAGUUUGGGAUAACUCCGGGAAACCGGGGCUAAUACCGAAUAAUCUGUUUCACCUCAUGGUGAAACACUGAAAGACGGUUUCGGCUGUCGCUAUAGGAUGGGCCCGCGGCGCAUUAGCUAGUUGGUGAGGUAACGGCUCACCAAGGCGACGAUGCGUAGCCGACCUGAGAGGGUGAUCGGCCACACUGGGACUGAGACACGGCCCAGACUCCUACGGAGGCAGCAGUAGGGAAUCUUCCACAAUGGGCGAAAGCCUGAUGGAGCAACGCCGCGUGAGUGAAGAAGGAUUUCGGUUCGUAAAACUCUGUUGUAAGGGAGAACAAGUACAGUAGUAACUGGCUGUACCUUGACGGUACCUUAUUAGAAAGCCACGGCUAACUACGUGCCAGCGCCGC
rnacentral:rRNA from 1 species